rnacentral:rRNA from 1 species
GAAUUCGCCCUUAGAGUUUGAUCCUGGCUCAGGAUUAACGCUGGCGGCAUGCCUAAUACAUGCAAGUCGAACGGAAAAUAUAGAAGUGCUUGCACAUUUAUAUUUUUAGUGGCGAACGGGUGAGUAAUAUAUAGAUAACCUACCUUCCAGUUGGGGAUAACAGAGGGAAACUUCUGCUAAUACCGAAUAUGAUAAAGAAACACAAGUAAUUUUAUUGAAAGGGGCUCCAAAGCCCCGCUAGAAGAGGGGUCUAUAUCGCAUUAGCUAGUUGGUAAGAUAACAGCCUACCAAGGCGAUGAUGCGUAGCUGUACUGAGAGGUAGAACAGCCACAUUGGGACUGAGAUACGGCCCAAACUCCUACGGGAGGCAGCAGUAGGGAAUUUUCGGCAAUGGGGGGAACCCUGACCGAGCAAUGCCGCGUGAGUGAAGAAGGUCUUCGGAUCGUAAAACUCUGUCCUUGGUGAAGAAAAAGACGGUAGCCAAGGAGGAAGCCCCGGCUAACUACGUGCCAGCAGCCGCGGUAAUACGUAGGGGGCGAGCGUUGUCCGGAUUUACUGGGCGUAAAGGGUGAGUAGGCGGUUGUAUAUGUCAGGUGUAAAAGGCUAUGGCUUAACCAUGGUUAGCACUUGAAACUGUACAACUUGAGUGCAGGAGAGGUAAGUGGAAUUCCUAGUGUAGCGGUGAAAUGCGUAGAUAUUAGGAGGAACACCAGUGGCGAAGGCGACUUACUGGACUGUAACUGACGCUGAGUCACGAAAGCGUGGGUAGCAAACAGGAUUAGAUACCCUGGUAGUCCACGCUGUAAACGAUGAGUGCUAGGUGUUGGGUAGCGAUACUCGGUGCCGGAGUCAACACAAUAAGCACUCCGCCUGGGGAGUACGUACGCAAGUAUGAAACUCAAAGGAAUUGACGGGGACCCGCACAAGCAGCGGAGCAUGUGGUUUAAUUCGAAGCAACGCGAAGAACCUUACCAAGGCUUGACAUCCCCUUGACCAGUGCAGAGAUGUACUCUCUUCUUCGGAAGCAAGGGAGACAGGUGGUGCAUGGUUGUCGUCAGCUCGUGUCGUGAGAUGUUGGGUUAAGUCCCGCAACGAGCGCAACCCUUAUCCUUAGUUGCCAGCAUUAAAGAUGGGCACUCUAAGGAGACUGCCGGUGAUAAACCGGAGGAAGGUGGGGAUGACGUCAAAUCAUCAUGCCCCUUAUGUCUCGGGCUACACACGUGCUACAAUGGUCGGUACAACGGGCAGCGAAGGAGCAAUCCGGAGCAAAUCCCAAUAAACCGAUCCCAGUUCGGAUUGUAGGCUGCAACUCGCCUACAUGAAGUCGGAGUUGCUAGUAAUCGCGAAUCAGAACGUCGCGGUGAAUGCGUUCCCGGGUCUUGUACACACCGCCCGUCA